GUUGUAUGUGGGUGUGUGCAAUCGUGAAUAAGGAACCAGGAAGAACUCCUCCUCAUCUAACCCUAACUUCACAAAUCCAUCAAAUUAAAAAGGAAAUUGAGGGCUAAUUGAAUGCAUGAACUAAGAAUGGUGAUCACCUAAGUAUUUCCUACAUCAAGCACAAAGAAGGAAGAAGGCGCAAGUCACUCGAAGGCACAAGCAUCUCAAGAUCGCGGUAAGUUCAUAUGAACUUUAUUUACUCUAAUGUAGAAUUAUGAAUGUAUGUUGA
rnacentral:lncRNA from 1 species